AGGAUGAACGCUGGCGGAGUGCCUAACACAUGCAAGUCGAGCGGCAGCGCGAAGAAUUUAUUCUUUGGCGGCGAGCGGCGGACGGCUGAGUAACGCGUGGGAACAUGCCCCAAAGUGAGGGAUAAGCAUCGGAAACGGUGUCUAAUACCGCAUAUGAUCUUCGGAUUAAAGGAUUUAUCCGCUUUUGGAAUGGCCUGCGUACGAUUAGAUAGUUGGUGAGGUAAAGGCUCACCAAGUCUACGAUCGUUAACUGGUUUGAGAGGAUGAUCAGUCAGACUGGAACUGAGACACGGUCCAGACUCCUACGGGAGGCAGCAGUGAGGAAUCUUCCACAAUGGACGAAAAGUCUGAUGAGCAACUCCGCGUGCGAGGA
rnacentral:rRNA from 1 species